rnacentral:rRNA from 1 species
GACGAACGCUGGCGGCGUGCUUAACACAUGCAAGUCGAACGCGCCUGUCCUCUGGGUUUCUGGGGGGUGGGUGAGUGGCGAACGGGUGAGUAACACGUGAGUAACCUGCCCCCUUCUUCGGGAUAACGGUCUGAAAGGGCUGCUAAUACCGGGUAUUCACUGGUCUCCGCAUGGGGUCUGGUGGAAAGGUUUUUUUCUGGUGGGGGAUGGGCUCGCGGCCUAUCAGCUUGUUGGUGGGGUGAUGGCCCACCAAGGCUUUGACGGGUAGCCGGCCUGAGAGGGUGACCGGCCACAUUGGGACUGAGAUACGGCCCAGACUCCUACGGGAGGCAGCAGUGGGGAAUAUUGCACAAUGGGCGCAAGCCUGAUGCAGCGACGCCGCGUGAGGGAUGGAGGCCUUCGGGUUGUGAACCUCUUUCGCCCGUGGUCAAGCCGCGACGUGGGUCGUGGUGAGGGUAGUGGGUAAAGAAGCGCCGGCUAACUACGUG